CUCCUGGAAACGGGUGGUAAUGCCGGAUGCUCCGCCCCCUCGCAUGGGGGGUCGGGAAGGCUUUUGCGGAAUGGGAUGGGGUCGCGUCCUAUCAGCUUGUUGGCGGGGCGACGGCCCACCAAGGCUUCGACGGGUAGCCGGCCUGAGAGGGCGACCGGCCACAUUGGGACUGAGAUACGGCCCAGACUCCUACGGGAGGCAGCAGUGGGGAAUAUUGCACAAUGGGGGGAACCCUGAUGCAGCGACGCCGCGUGCGGGAUGGAGGCCUUCGGGUCGUGAACCGCUUUUGAUUGGGAGCAAGCGUGAGUGAGUGUACCUUUCGAAUAAGCACCGGCUAACUACGUGCCAGCAGCCGCGGUAAUACGUAGGGUGCAAGCGUUGUCCGGAAUCAUUGGGCGUAAAGGGCUCGUAGGCGGUUCGUCGCGUCCAGUGUGAAAGCCCAUCGCUUAACGGUGGGUCUGCGCCGGGUACGGGCGGGCUUGAGUGCGGCAGGGGAGGCUGGAAUUCCCGGUGUAACGGUGGAAUGUGUAGAUAUCGGGAAGAACACC
rnacentral:rRNA from 1 species